rnacentral:snRNA from 1 species
GUGCUUGCUUCAACAGCACAUACACUAAAAUUCGGAUCACACAGAGAAGACGAGCAUGGUCCUGAUCAGGAAUGACAUCAAGUUCGUAAGUCAUCCUAUGUUAAA